GACGAAGGGGGCUAGCGUUGCUCGGAAUCACUGGGCGUAAAGCGCACGUAGGCGGAUUCCUAAGUCGGGGGUGAAAUCCUGGAGCUCAACUCCAGAACUGCCUUCGAUACUGGGAAUCUUGAGUCCGGAAGAGGUGAGUGGAACUGCGAGUGUAGAGGUGAAAUUCGUAGAUAUUCGCAAGAACACCAGUGGCGAAGGCGGCUCACUGGUCCGGUACUGACGCUGAGGUGCGAAAGCGUGGGGAGCAAACAGG
rnacentral:rRNA from 1 species